rnacentral:tRNA from 1 species
GGGCCCGUGGCGCAGGUUGGAAGCGCGGUGACCGGUAGAGCCACAGGUCCCGGGUUCAAGUCCCGGCGGGCCCGCCA